rnacentral:rRNA from 1 species
CGCGUAGGUGGUAGUGAAAGUCUAUGGUGGAAUCUUAGGGCUUAACCCUAAAACUGCCUUGGGAACUUCAUUACUUGAGUCAGUGAGGGGAGGGUAGAAUUCCUGGUGUAGCGGUGAAAUGCGUAGAUAUCAGGAGGAAGGCCGGUGGCGAAGGCGGCCCUCUGGCGCUGAACUGACGCUGAGGCGCGAAAGCGUGGGUAGCAAACAGGAUUAGAUACCCUGGUAGUCCACGCCCUAAACGGUGGGUACUAGGUGUAGGGCUCGUAAGGGUUCUGUGCCGAAGGGAAACCAUUAAGUACCCCGCCUGGGGAGUACGGCCGCAAGGUUGAA